rnacentral:SRP_RNA from 2 species
AUGCACUAGACGGGGAACUAGCGAUGCCUUGUAACCUGCAAUUCGCUAUAGCAGGGUUUAAUUCCCAGUAGAGGGAUAUUUUCUAACUAAAAGCCUAUAUAAAUGGGUGUUGACUGUUAGGUCUUACGCAACAGAAAACUAUGAACCAUGUCAGGACGGGAACGUAGCAGCAUUAAGUAGAUCUUUCUGUGUGCCGUAAGGUCACCUAACACGAGCUUUGUUUAUAUAGUUACUCUAGUGAGAAUUUAUUUCAAAACUGGGUGUGCUU